GGCCAGGUGGUGGAACGGAAGACACGCUGCGCUUAGGACGCAGUGCCUUCGGGUGUGCGGGUUCGACUCCCGCCCUGGCCA
rnacentral:tRNA from 1 species